GGUAUCAUGCAAGAUUCCCAUUCUUGCGACCCGGGUCCAAGUCCCGGCUAGCGCA
rnacentral:tRNA from 1 species